GACGAACGCUGGCGGCGUGCUUAACACAUGCAAGUCGAACGGAAAGGCCCUGCUUUUGUGGGGUGCUCGAGUGGCGAACGGGUGAGUAACACGUGAGUAACCUGCCCUUGACUUUGGGAUAACUUCAGGAAACUGGGGCUAAUACCGGAUAGGAGCUCCUGCUGCAUGGUGGGGGUUGGAAAGUUUCGGCGGUUGGGGAUGGACUCGCGGCUUAUCAGCUUGUUGGUGGGGUAGUUGCUUACCAAGGCUUUGACGGGUAGCCGGCCUGAGAGGGUGACCGGCCACAUUGGGACUGCGAUACGGCCCAGACUCCUACGGGAGGCAGCAGUGGGGAAUAUUGCACAAUGGGCGGAAGCCUGAUGCAGCAACGCCGCGUGCGGGAUGACGGCCUUCGGGUUGUAAACCGCUUUCGCCUGUGACGAAGCGUGAGUGACGGUAAUGGGUAAAGAAGCACCGGCUAACUACGUG
rnacentral:rRNA from 1 species